rnacentral:lncRNA from 1 species
AAUUUAGCUAACGUGCCUAAUGUUGAAUCCAAGGAAAUAUGUGCGAAAUUUUCGACUAAUGUUAUAGCAAGGUGUGCAUUUGCAAUAGACGCUGGAUGCUUCAACACAGAAAAUGCCGAAUUCAGGUAUCUUGGGAGGCAAUUGUUUGAUUUUCGGUACUCUACGGCUUUUCGAUUGUUUACCGGUUUUCUAGCCCCGAAGCUAGCCAGUGCACUUGACAUAUCACUUUUUGAUCCUCGCGUGCUUAACAGAUUAAGCAGUAUAUUUGGAGAAAUUCUAUCAAGUAGAAUAUCUACUCCCGAGCUCAAAGGGAAGGAUUUGAUUGAUCUAUUUAUCGAAGAGAGUAAAAGCAAGAAUGUCCAUUUUGGUAAGUGCAUUGAAUUAAAAAAUGCAUAAUAUAAAACAUCUACACACAAAGAAAGCGUUGAAAUAAUCAAACUUCCUAACGUCAAUUGAUUGCAGCAAUUAUGGUAAAACUUAAAUCGGAAAGUUGUGCAUAGAGUAAAAUUAACUUAUUAUCUAUGGUUAGCUUGCACUUU